AUGGCCUGGGCCCCUCUCCUCCUCACCCUCCUGGCUCACUGCACAGGAUCCUGGGCCCAGUCUGUGCUGACUCAGCCAUCCUCAGUGUCGGGGUCCCCGGGCGAGAGGGUCACCAUCUCCUGCACUGGAAGCAGCUCCAACAUUGGGCGUGGUGACUAUGUGUCCUGGUACCAGCAGCUCCCAGGAAAGGCCCCCAAACUCCUCAUCUAUGAGAGUAGCAAACGACCCACAGGGAUUCCGGACCGAUUCUCUGGCUCCAGGUCUGGCAGCUCAGCCUCCCUGACCAUCACGGGGCUGCAGGCUGAGUACGAGGCCGACUAUUAUUGCGAGUCCUAUGACAGCAGUAUCUAUAGUUCCACAGUGCUGCAGGCCUGUGGGGAAAGGGUCACCAUCUCCUGCACUGGAAGCAGCUCCAACAUUGGGGAUAACUAUGUGAACUGGUACCAGCAGCUCCCAGGAAAGGCCCCCAAACUCAUUAUAUAUCUUGAUAGCAUUACAGAAUCAGGGGUCCCAGAUCGAUUCUCUGGCUCCAAGUCUGGAAACUCAGGCACCCUGACCAUCACGGGGCUGCAGGCUGAGGACGAGGCCGACUAUUACUGCUCAGCAUGGGACGACAGUCUCAAUGCUCCCACAGUGCUCCAGGCCUGUGGGGAAAUAAAUGCCAACGUCUGA